AGUGAACGCUGGCGGCGUGCCUAAUACGUGCAAGUCGAACGGAAUUUAAAAGAGCUUGCUCUUUUAAAUUUAGUGGCGCACGGGUGAGUAAUAUAUAGCUAAUCUGCCCCUUGCUGGAGGACAACAGUUAGAAAUGACUGCUAAUACUCCAUACUCCUUUUUACCAUAAGAUAAAUCGGGAAAGAAUUUCGGCAAGGGAUGAGACUAUAUCGUAUCAGCUAGUCGGUGGGGUAACGGCCUACCGAGGCUAUGACGCGUAACUGGUCUGAGAGGAUGAUCAGUCACAUUGGAACUGAGACACGGUCCAAAUUCCUACGGGAGGCAGCAGUAGGGAAUAUUGCGCAAUGGGGGAAACCCUGACGCAGCAACGCCGCGUGGAGGAUGACACUUUUCGGAGCGUAAACUCCUUUUGUUAGGGAAGAAUAAUGACGGACCUAACGAA
rnacentral:rRNA from 1 species